AAUGCUUUAUGCGUCAAAAGGAUUCGUCUGCCCAAGGAUGGGUCUGCGGCCUAUCAGGUAGUAGUGGGUGUAAUGUACCUACUAGCCAGCGACGGGUACGGGUUGUGAGAGCAAGAGCCCGGAGAUGGAUUCUGAGACAUGAAUCCAGGCCCUACGGGGCGCAGCAGGCGCGAAAACUUUACAAUGCGGGAAACCGUGAUAAGGGGACACCGAGUGCCAGCAUCAUAUGCUGGCUGUCCGGAUGUGUAAAAUACAUCCGUUAGCAAGGGCCGGGCAAGACCGGUGCCAGCCGCCGCGGUAACACCGGCGGCCCGAGUGGUGAUCGUGAUUAUUGGGUCUAAAGGGUCCGUAGCCGGUUUGGUCAGUCCUCCGGGAAAUCUGAUAGCUCAACUAUUAGGCUUUCGGGGGAUACUGCCAGACUUGGAACCGGGAGAGGUAAGAGGUACUACAGGGGUAGGAGUGAAAUCUUGUAAUCCCUGUGGGACCACCUGUGGCGAAGGCGUCUUACCAGAACGGGUUCGACGGUGAGGGACNAAAGCUGGGGGCACGAACCGGGAUUAGAUACCCGGGUANUCCCAGCCGUAAACGAUGCUCGCUANG
rnacentral:rRNA from 1 species